rnacentral:rRNA from 1 species
GACGAACGUUUGAGGCGUGCUUAACACAUGCAAGUCGAACGGAAAGGCCCUGCUUUUGUGGGGUGCUCGAGUGGCGAACGGGCGAGUAACACGUGAGUAACCUGCCCUUGACUUUGGGAUAACUUCAGGAAACUGGGGCUAAUACCGGAUAGGAGCUCCUGCUGCAUGGUGGGGGUUGGAAAGUUUCGGCGGUUGGGGAUGGACUCGCGGCUUAUCAGCUUGUUGGUGGGGUAGUGGCUUACCAAGGCUUUGACGGGUAGCCGGCCUGAGAGGGUGACCGGCCACAUUGGGACUGAGAUACGGCCCAGACUCCUACGGGAGGCAGCAGUGGGGAAUAUUGCACAAUGGGCGGAAGCCUGAUGCAGCAACGCCGCGUGCGGGAUGACGGCCUUCGGGUUGUAAACCGCUUUCGCCUGUGACGAAGCGUGAGUGACGGUAAUGGGUAAAGAAGCACCGGCUAACUACGUGCCAGCAGCCGCGGUGAUACGUAGGGUGCGAGCGUUGUCCGGAUUUAUUGGGCGUAAAGGGCUCGUAGGUGGUUGAUCGCGUCGGAAGUGUAAUCUUGGGGCUUAACCCUGAGCGUGCUUUCGAUACGGGUUGACUUGAGGAAGGUAGGGGAGAAUGGAAUUCCUGGUGGAGCGGUGGAAUGCGCAGAUAUCAGGAGGAACACCAGUGGCGAAGGCGGUUCUCUGGGCCUUUCCUGACGCUGAGGAGCGAAAGCGUGGGGAGCGAACAGGCUUAGAUACCCUGGUAGUCCACGCUGUAAACGGUGGGUACUAGGUGUGGGGUCCAUUCCACGGGUUCCGUGCCGUAGCUAACGCUUUAAGUACCCCGCCUGGGGAGUACGGCCGCAAGGCUAAAACUCAAAGGAAUUGACGGGGCCCCGCACAAGCGGCGGAGCAUGCGGAUUAAUUCGAUGCAACGCGUAGAACCUUACCUGGGUUUGACAUGGAUCGGGAGUGCUCAGAGAUGGGUGUGCCUCUUUUGGGGUCGGUUCACAGGUGGUGCAUGCCUGUCGUCAGCUCGUGUCGUGAGAUGUUGGGUUAAGUCCCGCAACGAGCGCAACCCUUGUUCACUGUUGCCAGCACGUUAUGGUGGGGACUCAGUGGAGACCGCCGGGGUCAACUCGGAGGAAGGUGGGGAUGACGUCAAGUCCUCAUGCCCCUUAUGUCCAGGGCUUCACGCAUGCUACAAUGGCUGGUACAGAGAGUGGCGAGCCUGUGAGGGUGAGCGAAUCUCGGAAAGCCGGUCUCAGUUCGGAUUGGGGUCUGCAACUCGACCUCAUGAAGUCGGAGUCGCUAGUAAUCGCAGAUCAGCAACGCUGCGGUGAAUACGUUCCCGGGGCU